AUUAGAAGACAAAGUAGCCUGUUCCUGUAUAAGGUCCUAGCUUACUACUCACCCCAGGGACAUUCAAGAAACUGCUGAAAACAUAUAAGCUGCCUGUCUGCAACCACUUCCAUCUACAGAGCACACUUGCAGGUGAGAGGAAGGAAUACAACCGCCCUGACACCUGAUAUUGCACAGAACCCUGACACACUGCAGCAAGUUAACAAAACAAACCAAUUAACUACUGUCAAGGCAACUAAAGAUCACACAGAAUGGAAUUCUGCAAUUACACCUUGAAAAGUGGCUUCAUCUUGGUAGGUAUUCUGGAUGACAGUAGUUUUGCAGAACUGCUCUGCACCACUAUCACAGCCCUGUACUUCUUAGCCUUGACCAGCAAUGGACUGCUGCUGCUGGUCAUCACCAUGGAUGCCCAGCUCCACGUGCCCAUGUAUCUUCUGCUCUGGCAGCUCUCUCUCAUGGAUCUCCUCCUCACAUCAGUUAUUACUCCAAAGGCUGUCAUGGAUUUUCUGCUUAAAGACAACUCUAUCUCAUUUGGGGGCUGUGCCCUUCAGAUGUUUCUGGCACUG